AUGGCCGAAUGCUUCAAUAGGGUGCUCAAAGGUGCAUGUGGAUUACCCGUGACGGCAAUAGUUCAAUACACAUUUGACAAGAUGAAUGCGUACUUUGUAAAGUACUCGAUGGAAACCGAUGCACAGAUAGCGGGUGAGAACCCACGGAAGUACAAGUACAAGUUCCCACCCAAAGUUGAUGAAUGGUUGGUAUUUCAAUCACGGAAGGCGGACUCAGAAGAAGCUAUAUUAUAUGACAACGAAGAGUGGAAGUACGAAGUGAAAGAGCCAGGAGGAACCACAAACGAUGGCCGGCAACAUGGAGGUCGAGCUUUCAAGGUGUCGUUAACACAAUGUGAUUGCACUUGCGGGAGGCCAUUGUUGCUUCAUCUCCCAUGCUCACAUUUGUAUGCCGCCGGUCGCGUUAGGAAUGUGGACACUAAUCACCCACGCACCAUGAGGGAUUCGGAGUUCUCAAUCAUGACGGUCAAGAAAACAUGGGCUCCCCGCUUUCCAUACUUUGACCAAUCACAAUGGCCGGAGUAUCAUGGAGUUCAACUAUGGCCGGAUCCGGAGUUGAAGGUUGUUAAACGGGGUAGACGUAAGACAAAGCGUCUUAGAGGCGACAUGGACGGAUGGGGCCAUGGUGGGCACCGCGAAGCGGGCAACGACCAAUUCCAAGAGCCUCGUGAGAGCUCCCGUUGUGGGGAGUGCAAAGGUCAUGGCCACAACAAAAGAAAAUGUACGAAACCAAGGAAAAGGUCCAAGAAAAAUGAUGCAAGCACAAGCCAACAAGGAGCUACACAAGGGAGCCAACCAAGUGGUAGCCAACCUAGUGGUAGCCAACAAGUGCCAAGCCAACCAAGUGGUAGCCAACCUAGUGGUAGCCAACAAGUGCCAAGGCAACCAAGUGGUAGCCAACAAGUGCCUAGCCAACCAAGUGUUAGCCAAAGAGGAUCUAGGCAACAAAGAGGUCGGCAACUUGGACUUACAAGAGGCCGUGGUGGUGGUAGAGGUGGUGGUAAUGGCCGUGGUGAUGGUCUCGGCCUUGGUGAUGGUCUUGGCCUUGGUGGUGGACUUGGCCGUGGUGAUGGACAAGCGCAAGUUCGUUAUAGAGGAAUGUUUGGAUACCUAGAUGGACCGUUUCCGUAUGUUCCUCACUAA
rnacentral:rRNA from 1 species